AAUGCCCAAGUUGCAAGACAAGAGAGAGGAAGAGGACGACGACAACAACAACAACGACAAGUAAUCUCAGAUGAAAUCCGUGCCACCCUAGUUUAUCAUGUGCUCAUACAUGGGAGGACUAUGAGAGAACCUGGACAGCUAGUGCAACCCAACCUAAGCCGUUACAUGGUUGCAUCCAUUGUCCGUACUUUCAGAAGGGAAAACGGGACUGAGAGGUAUUGGAGGUAGGCGGAGACUUCUCACAGCUGAGCAGGAGACUGCCCUGGAGAAUAUGGUGAUUGUCAAUAAUGCCAUCUGUUUGAGGGAAAUUCAAACCCAAAUAGUUGAAAACCUGGUAGUUUUCCAAGGAAUUGACAGUGUCAGCAUUUCCACCAUUGACCGGAUCGUUCAGAAGACCCAAAUAAGGACAAAGCAGCUGUACUGUGUGCCUUUUGAAAGGAAUUCAAACAGAGUUAAGGAGCAACAAUUCCAGUAUGUGCAGAGAAUCUUUCAACUGGAUGCCAUGGCUGACCCACAGGAGUACAUCUUCAUCGACUAGGCAGGGUUCAACCUAACAAAAGGGGGCACAACAUUAUUGGUCACCUGUACAAUAACAUUCUUCAACAGGAUGGGGAGCCAGGGCAACCAGAGCAAGCCUAAUAUGUUGUCAUUUAGGAUAACGUGAGUUUCCAUGGGGCUGCUCUGGUUCGCUCCUGGUUCAAUGACCACCCCAGGUUCACUAUUUUUUUUGCCAGUAUAUUCCCCAUUUCUGAAUCCGAUUGUGUAAUUUUUCUCAGCAUGGCGGUGGAGAGUAUAUGACAGCAACCCUUACACAUAGCAAAACCUCCUGGGGACAAUGGUGGACGCCUGUGGUGAUGUGUCUGUGGAGUCUAUCCAGGGUUUUCUAAGGCAUUUUGCCUGUAGUCUGUGUUUUUUUUUUUUUUUUACAGCUUGUGUGUGUUGUCUGAGGGCAAAGUUUGAAUUGGGAUCCGGAAGUUAAAUUUCUGUACCGUUGGUGUGAGUUUUUAAAAUUGUGUGUGAAGAUUUGAGAAAAUGGUGAGUUGUUCCAGGAAUUGUCCAAGCAAUUGAGAAAAGUUGUAAAAAGCCUUGAAUUAAUGUGAACAUGGACGAUGGAGCGUUUCCUUCCAACACAUUGUUUUGCACUAGUCUCUGCACUAUUCCUUUUAAAUCCAAGUCACAUUGAGAUUGACUUAAUCAUUUAAACCUAACCUAUGAGCAGACCCAUCAUCUUAUGAAUGACUGCCCCCAAGUUGCAAGUUACAUCCCAAAAAACACACAAGAAUCUAUAGAAUACAAAUGGCUUAUAGCCUUCCACGCAUGCUUUCUGUCCCUAACCAGUUUUCCUUAUAACCAUUUACAGGUGAUGAAUUACCUGACGCAUUAAAAUUACUCACGACAGG